GUCUCUGUGGGCGCAACCCGGUUAGCGCGUUCGGCUGUUAACCGAAAGGUUGGUGGUUCGAGCCCACCCAGGGACG